rnacentral:misc_RNA from 1 species
GAUCAAAUCUCAAGCCUAGCUUGGAAUUGGGCUUUCGUCUCCUGCCAUUGCGGCUAAUUGAGACGUGCCUAAAAAGAAAUGGCAAUACCUCAAUGGACUCUAGCGUAGCAGACUGACUUGCGCUUGGAGGGCUGUUUGUGGGUUUUUGCUAUAAAAUAAUCAA